AAACUUUCAACAACGGAUCUCUUGGUUCCGGCAUCGAUUAAGAACGCACCGAAAUGCGAUACGUAAUGUGAAUUGCAGAAUUCAGUGAAUCAUCGAGUCUUUGAACGCACAUUGCGCCCCCUGGUAUUCCGGGGGGCAUGCCUGUCCGAGCGUCAUU
rnacentral:rRNA from 1 species